rnacentral:rRNA from 1 species
UACGUAGGCAGCGAGCGUUGUUCGGAAUUACUGGGCGUAAAGAGUGUGUAGGCGGUGCUCUAAGUUCGGUGUGAAAUCUCCUGCUUAACUGGGAGGGUGCGCCGAAAACUGGAGUGCUCGAGCGUGGGAGAGGAAAGCGGAAUUCCUGGUGUAGCGGUGAAAUGCGUAGAUAUCAGGAGGAACACCUGCGGUGUAGACGGCUUUCUGGGACCAUUGCUGACGCUGAGACACGAAAGCGUGGGUAGCAAACAGG